rnacentral:lncRNA from 1 species
AGUAGUUCCUCAUCUUUUUAUUUUUUAAUGUUAUGGAUCCAUUUUAGCUCCUGAUGUCAGCAACAGGCAGCAUCCUACUUUUCAAGGUGUUUAUGAUUAUCUUGACACUAAUAUUAAAAACCCAACCUUUUCAGCUGGACUCUAUGACUGCUCUAAAGCGGCCUGCUUCAAUAUAUGAAAUUUAAAAUGUGGGAUUUUAGCUCAGAAAGCAGAGCUUGGUUUAAAAAAAAAUGUGGGCUUAAUAAUGUAAAAAAGGCACAGUCAGGCCAUGGUCUUCCUUGGGAAAGGCCUAAGGGGCAGCAAGGAUCACACCUGUAGAGCGCUGUGGAGUUGAGGCGUGUGGGGGCGGGAUCCACUCUGCAGAAAUCUGUGCUCUCACAAUCACAGUCCCUGCCACUCAGAG